rnacentral:lncRNA from 1 species
GUAACGAAGAAAGUUCGGCUAGGCAAGCUCAGUGAUUUUUAACUCUGUUGGACUCGAUUUGGGAGCCGAAUGCCUAUUUCAUUCUUUUGUGGGCUGAGACUGGGGGUUUGAGAAAGUGGACGGGGGCCAAGGUAUUCAUCUCACAGUUGGUAGCAGGAUGAGAGACGAGAAGUCUUGCGGUGCAGGAGAAACCAAGUCAGGCAGGCAGGAGACGCAGCAGUAGGAUCUCGUUUGCAGGAGCCCUGUUUCUUACACGCUUUCUACUCCAGGAGCUGCUGCUAAAUAAUUUCUGCUCAGCCAUGUCGCCGGCUCCAGAUGCAGCCCCGGCUCCUGCGUCGAUCUCCCUGUUUGACCUCAGCGCGGAUGCUCCGGUCUUUCAGGGCCUGAGCCUGGUGAGCCACGCGCCUGGGGAGGCUCUGGCCCGGGCUCCGCGUACUUCCUGUUCAGGCUCAGGGGAGAGAGAAAGCCCAGAAAGAAAGCUACUCCAGGGUCCUAUGGAUAUUUCAGAGAAGUUAUUUUGUUCAACUUGUGACCAGACCUUCCAGAACCACCAAGAACAGAGGGAACAUUA